rnacentral:rRNA from 1 species
GAGCACGCCGCGUGAGUGAUGAAGGUUUUCGGAUCGUAAAACUCUGUUGUUAGGGAAGAACAAGUACCGUUCGAAUAGGGCGGUACCUUGACGGUACCUAACCAGAAAGCCACGGCUAACUACGUGCCAGCAGCCGCGGUAAUACGUAGGUGGCAAGCGUUGUCCGGAAUUAUUGGGCGUAAAGCGCGCGCAGGCGGUUUCUUAAGUCUGAUGUGAAAGCCCCCGGCUCAACCGGGGAGGGUCAUUGGAAACUGGGGAACUUGAGUGCAGAAGAGGAGAGUGGAAUUCCACGUGUAGCGGUGAAAUGCGUAGAGAUGUGGAGGAACACCAGUGGCGAAGGCGACUCUCUGGUCUGUAACUGACGCUGAGGCGCGAAAGCGUGGGGAGCGAACAGGAUUAGAUACCCUGGUAGUCCACGCCGUAAACGAUGAGUGCUAAGUGUUAGAGGGUUUCCGCCCUUUAGUGCUGCAGCAAACGCAUUAAGCACUCCGCCUGGGGAGUACGGUCGCAAGACUGAAACUCAAAGGAAUUGACGGGGGCCCGCACAAGCGGUGGAGCAUGUGGUUUAAUUCGAAGCAACGCGAAGAACCUUACCAGGUCUUGACAUCCUCUGACAACCCUAGAGAUAGGGCUUCCCCUUCGGGGGCAGAGUGACAGGUGGUGCAUGGUUGUCGUCAGCUCGUGUCGUGAGAUGUUGGGUUAAGUCCCGCAACGAGCGCAACCCUUUG